GGGCCAUUAGUUCAGCGGUUAGAACUCUCGGCUCAUAACCGAGUUAUCGCAGGUUCGAAUCCUGCAUGGCCCACCA
rnacentral:tRNA from 3 species